rnacentral:rRNA from 1 species
AUAUUGGUCAAUGGUGGGAACACUGAACCAGCCAUGCCGCGUGAGGGAAUGAGGCCCUACGGGUCGUGAACCUCUUUUGACCGGGGACAAGGACGCCCACGCGAUGGGCGUUUGAGGGUACCGGUGGAAUAAGCGUCGGCUAACUCCGUUCCAGCAGCCGCGGUAAUACGGAGGACGCGAGCGUUAUCCGGAUUCAUUGGGUUUAAAGGGUGCGCAGGCGGCCGGUCAAGUCAGCGGUGAAAUCCCGGGGCCCAACCCCGGAAGUGCCGUUGAUACUGAUUGGCUGGAAUGCGGUCGAGGCGGGCGGAACGUGGCGUGUAGCGGUGAAAUGCGUAGAUAUGCCACAGAACGCCGAUAGCGGAGGCAGCUCGCCAGGCCUGCAUUGACGCUCGGGCACGAAAGCGUGGGGAUCGAACAGG